rnacentral:rRNA from 1 species
CCUACGGGGGGCAGCAGUAGGGAAUCUUUCACAAUGGGCGAAAGCCUGAUGGAGCAACGCCGCGUGCAGGAUGAAGGCCUUCGGGUUGUAAACUGCUUUUAUAAGCGAGAAAUAUGAGGGUAACUUAUGAAUAAGGAUCGGCUAACUACGUUCCAGCAGCCGCGGUCAUACGUAGGAUCCGAGCAUUAUCCGGAGUGACUGGGUGUAAAGAGUUGCGUAGGUGGCAUAAUAAGUAGCUAGUGAAAUCUGGUGGCUCAACCAUUCAGACUAUUAGCUAAACUGUUAAGCUCGAGACCGUUAGGGGUAACUGGAAUGUCUAGUGUAGGAGUGAAAUCCGUAGAUAUUAGAAGGAACACCAUUAGCGUAGGCAGGUUGCUGGGACGGUUCUGACACUAAGGCACGAAAGCGUAGGGAGCAAACGGGAUUAGAUACCCGGGUAGUC